CACCGAGUCGCUUAGUGCCUCACUUUUGCUGAAGCUGGCUUUGAACUCCCGAUCCUCCUGUCUCAGCCUCCAAGCUGCUGGGAUGACAGGUGUGUGCCCAGCAGAGUAGCAGUUCUGAUGAGCUCUGAAUGGCCUUUGGAAUUCUUCUUCCCUUUCUCAAGGAAUAAUGAAUGUUGGAAGCCUUCAUUGCCUCUCGUUUAGUCUCCUUUAACUCUGGUUCCCAUGGACAUGGCCCAUCAGGACCCCGGUUCACAUCUGAUGGCCACAACCUUGGUGUUCUCAUUCAGCCGUGAAGUCCUUUCUCUCUCCUCACAUUUAACUGUUGAGCUGCCUGUCAACUUGCAGUGUGGUUACUUCCUGUUAAAGCCAUCAUCCCCUGAGAAUAUCCUAAGCUGAAAAUGCAUCUGGUUCACAAAACACACCCAGCGUCACAGCAAUAGCCUACGACGUAGACUGCCGGUUGUUUGCCCUGUGGUCUUGUGGCUGGCUGGCAGCUGUGGCCACUGCCAGCAUCACAUUGGUAGCCUAGGAAAAGAUCAAAGUUCAAAGUAUGGUUUCUACUAAAUGCACGUCACCUUCGCACCAUUGUAAGGUCAAAAGCAUCGCAAGCAUGUUGGGGACCUUCUGAGUUGGUCACCAGGAGGAACCAACCCAGUCCUCUGACACUUUGCCUAGGAAUCUCCUUAGCCACAAACUCAGCUUCUUCACUUGCAAAACACCAGAGCACAAACAGAUCAUCAGAGUUAUCUAGUGCUUUAUAACAAUGAUUUGCCUUUCCUGUUUGCGGUAACGUGAGCCUCGCUUCUGCCUGAGACCUGCCAAGAGUGGCCUUUCCCCCAAUCUUUUCACCAAUAUUCAUCUGUUCCUCAUGAUGUAUCUUCUAAGGAGACAGAAGUGGCCUCCACAGCUCUCCUUUCUUUUGGAGUCCUCACUGGAAUCACCUUUGGUAUCUGUAGUUCUAGCACAUUCCCC
rnacentral:lncRNA from 1 species